AUGUGGACUAGAGGCGCGGCUUUUAUGAGUACUUGUCCGGAGUGUCGGGACACGAGGAUGGACAAGGAAAGGAAAAUGCCGCCGAAGCUUGUGGGAAAUCCCGAUUGAACACAAGCUGGUGUUGUGCUCGAACAGGGGCAACACUGUCACAGAAGCCACGGCUUUUGUGGAGAGCUAAUCCGCAG
rfam:Thermoactinomyces sp. Gus2-1 c5, whole genome shotgun sequence.